rnacentral:rRNA from 1 species
ACGGAAGGCAGCAGUGGGGGAUAUUGCACAAUGGGGGAAACCCUGAUGCAGCGACGCCGCGUGAGUGAAGAAGUAUUUCGGUAUGUAAAGCUCUAUCAGCAGGGAAGAAAAUGACGGUACCUGACUAAGAAGCUCCGGCUAAAUACGUGCCAGCAGCCGCGGUAAUACGUAUGGAGCAAGCGUUAUCCGGAUUUACUGGGUGUAAAGGGAGCGUAGACGGCGAGGCAAGUCUGAUGUGAAAGCCAUGGGCUCAACCCAUGAACUGCAUUGGAAACUGUCUUGCUUGAGUGUCGGAGAGGUAAGCGGAAUUCCUAGUGUAGCGGUGAAAUGCGUAGAUAUUAGGAGGAACACCAGUGGCGAAGGCGGCUUACUGGACGAUAACUGACGUUGAGGCUCGAAAGCGUGGGGAGCAGACAGGAUUAGAUACCCUGGUA